rnacentral:lncRNA from 1 species
CCUAGCUAAAAAAUGUAUUUAUAAGUAUUGAAUGCUUCUUUUUGUAACUUCAUAGGGUUGUAAAAGCGUUGACCGUGCGCACAUUUUUAGAAUGAAGCGCUUCUUACAAAAUGUACUUCGGUCAACGCUUUUACACCCCAAUGAAGUUACAAAAAAAGCAUUCAAUACUUAAAAUAAAUAUGAACAAGGACAUCCUGUGUUAUGCAAACAUGUGUAUUUCGGCACAAGCGAUGACCUAUAGACCGUGUGUAUCAUAUGUAUAUAUAGGGUGGGUUGCUCCGAAUUAAGGAGGUAUAAAUACAGGAAAAUAAAGCAAAAAAAAAAAAAAUACAAAAUUAGAAUAGUCUAAGAGUAUAACGGGCAAAAUAAAGAACAGAGGAAAAUCGUAAAAGAAAAUUAAGGAAAAUGGUAUAAGAAAAAUCAGGAAUAGAGGGAAAUGGUCUAGUUUUUUGCCGGACAAUUGUUGAUGAUUGUUUUUUUUAAAGUAAAGUGCAUUUAUAGGACUGGUAAAAUAAUACACAAUCGUUUGUACAUUGGUAGGGAUUUAUGUUUGGAGUUGAUGAGGCA